GGGCCGGUGGUGCAACGGUAGCGCAUCCUUUCUGUAUAGGAAAGGUUCCAGGUUCGACUCCUAGCCAGUCCA